rnacentral:lncRNA from 1 species
AUGGGGGAGAAUUUUGGUAUUUAAUUUGGUUACACUUCUUCACUAGCAAUUAUCUCCAAAGACUAUAUAUAUUGAGAAAAACCAUGCUUAUUUCAUACUUGGAAACAUUUUUAAAUUAAGAAAAUGGAAUCUAUAGUGUACAGGUUAAAAUAUCAUAAAGAAGAAAUUUUAGACAUGGUGGUCUGCCACCAACCGUGUAUAAUAUGCAGUUUAGACGACACGAGUAAAACUGAAGUUUUAACCAUGCUAUCUUGCUUAGAUAGAUUGGAAGAUUAUGAUAUAGACUUGGCUUCAUUAUAUCAUACUUUGGUGCAUUCAACUCCGAAACAGGGGUUUAUGUUUCUGUAUUAUACUAGAAGUGAUAUUUCAGUGUGGUUAUUUGAAUUAAUCCAAGCAAUGAGGGAGAAAAAGGAUGGCGUAGGCAGGAAGAUAUUGGAGAUGGUAAUACUCACCAUACAAGAAAGGUAACAUUCAAUUUUGUUGGUUAAAUUUUAAACAACUUCUACAAAGACAACCUUUGCACUGGUCGUUUUAUACGAUCAGAUCUUCUUAACCUCUGAGGUGGGAUAGGUUGAUUAACAUUUUGAAUAACAUUUUGUUGAUUAUUUUGUCCGUCUUGGUUAUUGUGCUGAGGUUCUGGUUGAUUAUUUUGUCUGUUCCCGUUUAUGCCACGAGCUAUAGCUGGUAUACGCCUUACAAGUUGGUUUAAUUGAAUGACAAAUUCAUUUCCUGGAAACAGUUGAUGUAAUAUAAGCAGAGUCAGCAAAAUCAUAUACUGAAAGUAACCUGUAAGAAUCAAUAUAUUUGAAAUUCAGAAUAAUGACUUCCACAUGACUUAGAAA